GUCUUUGCACAGAUCAUCAGCUUUUAGAGACAGUGUUAUAUGGUGCCAAUAAUAGACUUGCAUGCCAAACAGAACUUGUGUGGUCCCCCACAGGUUCACGUAUUUAAGCACUUCCUUCCCAGUCGACGGUGCAGUUCAGAGAGGUUAAAGAGCUGUUAGGAGGUAGAGCCCGACUGAAUGAAGCAUGCCGCUGGGGAUGGGCUUUGAAAGUUGAUUGCCUUGCCUACUUCUAAUUUACUCCCUUUGCUUUGUGUCUGUGGUUGAAGUUGCCAUCUUGUAGCUUUCCUGCUUCGGCUACCUGGUGCCAUGCCUCCUCUGCCACUAUGGGAUCUCUUUAUUCCCAAACUUGUGUCUGCUCAAGGUCUUCCAGCACAGCAACAGAAAGGUAACCAAUCCAGAUGUCAACUGGAAUCCUUCCCUAGUGAUUUAUUGCACACAGGAGACUGUGAGAUCCUUACCAUUAACAUGGGAAUCACAGUUCCAGCUGCUGGUGAAUUGGGAAGACCUGAAUUGUUGCAAGAGGUCCCAGCGGCAGCAGCGGAAGAAUUCAUGAGAAGGGAUCCGGGGACUGGCUGACUUAUUG
rnacentral:lncRNA from 1 species